rnacentral:rRNA from 1 species
AGAGUUUGAUCCUGGCUCAGAGCGAACGCUGGCGGCAGGCCUAACACAUGCAAGUCGAAUGGGCCCUUCGGGGUCAGUGGCAGACGGGUGAGUAACGCGUGGGAACGUGCCCAUCGGUUCGGAAUAACCCAGGGAAACUUGGGCUAAUACCGGAUACGUCCUUUUUGGAGAAAGAUUUAUCGCCGAUGGAUCGGCCCGCGUCUGAUUAGCUAGUUGGUGGGGUAAUGGCCCACCAAGGCGACGAUCAGUAGCUGGUCUGAGAGGAUGAUCAGCCACACUGGGACUGAGACACGGCCCAGACUCCUACGGGAGGCAGCAGUGGGGAAUAUUGGACAAUGGGCGCAAGCCUGAUCCAGCCAUGCCGCGUGAGUGAUGAAGGCCCUAGGGUUGUAAAGCUCUUUCACCCACGACGAUAAUGACGGUAGUGGGAGAAGAAGCCCCGGCUAACUUCGUGCCAGCAGCCGCGGUAAUACGAAGGGGGCUAGCGUUGCUCGGAAUCACUGGGCGUAAAGGGCGCGUAGGCGGACCUUUAAGUCAGGGGUGAAAGCCUGUGGCUCAACCACAGAAUUGCCUUUGAUACUGAGGGUCUCGAGACCGGAAGAGGUUGGUGGAACUGCGAGUGUAGAGGUGAAAUUCGUAGAUAUUCGCAAGAACACCAGUGGCGAAGGCGGCCAACUGGUCCGGUUCUGACGCUGAGGCGCGAAAGCGUGGGGAGCAAACAGGAUUAGAUACCCUAGUAGUCC